ACACCCCUUCACCAAUUAGAGAAGAGUGUUACUUGCAAUUGGUUGAGGAGACCAAACCGGAGGGCGAAUGCUCCCAGCUGGAGAAAAAGGGAAGCUUGUAGGGGGAGGUUUUCUUUGGAGAGCUGCUGAAAUCCUACUGUUCCUGAGCUGGGCUCUUUGAGACUGAAUCACUUCAAACGUAUCAUGCUAAAGGAGCUGAUAAAGAGGAAAGAAAACAAUUCAGGGUGAAAAAUUAGAGCUGCUGUAGAGAAACAACUAGAAACCCUACUUCUCAUCUUGCCUAAAGCUCACCUGAGGAUAUUGUUAAUCAUCUGACAACACGUUUCCUUCGACUGCCUUAUUCAUUCCCACAUCCAAUGGGUUACUGAGUCCUGUGCUAAGUUUACAGGAGAAAUCUCACUCAUAUCUGCACUAUUCUUUCCAAAUACACAGUUCUUGUCUUCGUUCAGGCCUUCUAUCAGUUUGGACUAUUGCAACCACCUUCUGGUUUGGUUGCUGGACACUAUCACUCACUCCACCCCAUUUCAUCCUCAACAUUGGUAUCAGAUCUGUCUUCCUAAAUAUAUUACCAUCCCUGCCUCCACUUUAUUUCUCCACUGACUGUAAAAUAAAUCAUCUUGGCAUGAUGUAAACAGCUCUUCACAGUCCUAUUUGUUUGCCCUAGUCUGCCAAUCUCCUCUCUUUAUCUCCACCACAGCACCUCUGACGAUGUUAUUCUUCCACGUGCUGCUUUUCUUUGGGUUUCCGAACAAGCAACCUCGUUUUCCUACAAUGUCCUUAAUUAAGAACUCUUAAUUCACCUUUUAAACCCAGUUCAAACAUUUUCUCCUUCUGUGAGGUCCUCCAAAAUCCCUAACAUCAGAGCUUUGAUAAUACUUCAGUGACUGUGCUUUUCACAUAUAUAUAUAAUUAAUACAUGUGCAUGUCUAUAUUCCCUAUGACAAUGAGACCUCCCAGGCCAAGUUCACUGUAAUGUUCCUGUUGUAUCCCAGCACUUAUUGCAGUGCCCAGAACACAACAGACACUAUGUAAAUGUUAAUGCUAAUUUGAAAUGUAAAACCUAAAAUGUUAAAUCAAACUAAUUAUAUAAUCCCAAUAAAUUCAGAAAAAGUAUAAAUUUUCCUAAUAAAAAGAAAUCAAUGUUACUAAACUUUAUAUGCUAGGAAUCUUAGUAGUGGUGGGGGUACAGAUGGGUUCAAAAGAAAGCAGGGAAAGCUCAUCAAUAUUUAACAAUGGACCAUCAUUAAGAAAAAUAUCUUCUAGGGGUGCCUGGGUGACUCAGUCAGUUGGGUGUCCAACUUCAGCUCGGGUCAUGAUCUUGUAGUUCGUGGAUUCGAGCCCCAUGUCGGGCUCUGCACUGACAGCUCAGAGCCUGGAGCCUGCUUUGGAUUCUAUGUCCCCCUCUCUCUCCGCCCCUCCCCUGCUGUGCUCUGCCUCUCUCUCUCAAAAAUAAACAAACAUUUAACAAAAUUAAAAAAAAAAAAAAAAACUUACAUGUUCUUUACUCUUCAGUUGCUUUACUCCGGAUUCUAUAACCUUAAUGUUGGGAAAGCGAUUUUCUAACAUAGUAUUCGGUUGCUCUUCAACAUCAAAUUCCUCCAAUACUUUAGAAACCUGUAUUAAAUCAAAAA